CGGUGCUCUGCGCCCAUGCGCGUAUGGCGUCCAGUGUCCGAGCGGGCGCAGCUUGCCCAGCAGCCAUCGGCCGGACAUGACCAACGGGCCGCAUGCAUGCGCGACCCACAGACAGCGCCGCAGGGCCUUCGUGCAGUGCCAAGCACAGCAACCGCGCCGAAGGCCAGGUUGCCCAUGCGCAGGAGUUCUUCAUGCCCAGCAGCCAG
rnacentral:lncRNA from 1 species